rnacentral:tRNA from 1 species
GCGGAUGUGGCGGAAUUGGCAGACGCGCAUGGCUCAGGACCAUGUGGGCUUCGGCCCUUGAAGGUUCAAGUCCUUUCAUCCGCA